UGCCACCAUGAGGGGGGAGAGUUGCUUCCUUGAAUCGAAAGAUGUCGAAACAUGGGAGGAAAAAUACACAUACACGAGCGAAGAUUGGAUUCUUGCCGAGUUUGAAACCGAGCGCUUGGUGCCACUAGAUUUCCUCUUCGCCCCGAAGGAAAUCGGGCUAAGCAGUACUUGUUGUGUUGUGGUGACGGUGAUUUGGACCGAACUCUAGAGCGUGUAGUGGCAGUAAAUUUAUAUUGCAUGCUGUUGCUUUCGGCUUAACAAUUGAUAGGAUUGAUAGCGAGCACUAUAAAAAUCUUCCCUCAUUCUCACAUCAAACCUUCCCGGUUGGGUUGAAUGUUAAAGUUUGCCCGUGCAACAACAAACCCAUCAUCGUUAACCUUCGAUAAGGACGACGGAAUAAACGAUGGCGAAUCCCACCAGCAAUGAUGCAAACCAAGCGGCGACACCAACCAACCGCGACUCGUCAGCCGCGUUUGUUACGAUAUUGUGAAAAAGUAAUUAAAAAUUGUUAAUGAAAGUAUGAAA